AAGGUUCUAGCUUAGUUAAAGUGUCUGAGUUGCAUUCAGGAGAUGUAGGUUAAUAUCCUACGGACCUUA
rnacentral:tRNA from 1 species